rnacentral:misc_RNA from 1 species
GAUGAAGAACGCAGCGAAAUGCGAUAAGUAAUGUGAAUUGCAGAAUUCAGUGAAUCAUCGAAUCUUUGAACGCACAUUGCGCCCGCCAGUAUUCCGGGGGGCAUGCCUGUCCGAGCGUCAUUACAACCCUCAAGCUCAGCUUGGUGUUGGGCCCCGCCGCCCCGGCGGGCCCUAAAGUCAGUGGCGGUGCCGUCCGGCUCCGAGCGUAGUAAUUCUUCUCGCUCUGGAGGUCCGGUCGUGUGCUCGCCAGCAACCCCCAAUUUUUUUCAGGUUGACCUCGGAUCAGGUAGGGAUACCCGCUGAACUUAAGCAUAUCAAUAAGCGGAGGA